rnacentral:misc_RNA from 1 species
GAUGAAGAACGCAGCGAAAUGCGAUAGCUAGUGUGAAUUGCAGAAUUUAGUGAAUCAUCGAGUCUUUGAACGCACAUUGCGCCCGUCGGUACUCCGGCGGGCAUACCUGUCCGAGCGUGUUAUUCACUAUAAUCUCGCUAUGUCUAGCGGGACGUUGGGCGCUUCCGUGGUCCCCUAGUCUAUGGAUGCCCUAAAUGCAAUCGGCGGCAAGGCGAGACGGCCGAGUAUUCUGGAAUCAACACCCUAUACUCUGCUAUAUCAUCUUGUCGCUCGGUAGCCACUAAGGCAGCUUAGUGGUAGCGCUAUAGCGGGUGUGCCUACGGGUGCUCUACCCCUUUAGCGAAGCCUAAUACCUCGGAUCAGGUAGGAGUACCCGCUGAACUUAAGCAUAUCAAUAAGCGGAGGA